UUUGAAAUCAGCCCAACUUAGAAAUGAAGAGCCCUGCACAUACUCAAUCCACGAUCCCGUUCCUCUUGGUCCCCUUCUCUCUUUUUCCUGCAGCGGCCGCUGAGACGCAUAAUGAUGAUGUAGAUGUGGCUUAAAAUGAUCAUCGGUGGGGGCAGGACUGGCCUGUCAUGAAAUGUCAUAAUCAGCUGAUAUCGCUGGAACUUCCACACCUGGUUGGAUAUUGAUUUUACUUCAAAGAAGGCUCACGAUGUAGGAGAUGACGAUCCACUCCUGGAGGGACGGCCAGCCAUCCAUCCGCACCAGGAUGACGUAGUUAAACAGCAGCAGGUUGACACAUCUAAAAGAAUCUUUGUUUCCAACUGGACUGACUCAUUGAGAGGAAACCUUCACUGCACCUCACCAGUGCAGACAGAAGACCUGGAGGCAGGACGGGAGGCAUUUUAUACUUCAGCACGAUAUGGGCCCUGACUUUUCAUUUUCUACAUGGAGACAUAUUGAUCCUGCCUCCCAAGCCUAUAAGCUUUACCAGGAGAGAGGCAGGCCCCACCCCAAGAUCCACUAUCCACUCUUUGAAGAAAGAUUAGAGCCAUGUUCUCAGACUUUGGGCUGCAUCCUAAUCCCUGCGAAGCUGCACAAUGUGUGAUGACUCCACCCUCCACCCGAUCCAGAGGGUCUGGGGUGAGACCCAAGGCUGAGAGGCCUCGAUGGCUUCCUGGCCCCAUCUCCGGCAGCAGCCUCUAUGGCUGGGCUCUCCUGCAGGCUGGGUGCACCCCAGGCCCUCAGAUGGUUCUAACCAGAAUCGAUGGGCAGCAGUGACUUCGACUGUAUCAUCAAUCUUGGCUGCCACAAGGUUGGGUGUCCAGGCCCUCAGCUGACCCUUGAGAGAGCCACACUCUGGGAGCUGUGUAGACCCAGGGCCUCAGAGAGGGCUGGAGGAUGGCUUGCCAGCCAAGCGGGUCAGUUUGGUGAGCACUUCAGAAUGAGACGCCUUGAUUUGUUUCCCUAUUCCAAGAGUUUACCAUCUGGAUUUAGCCAUGCCCUUGUAAUGACCCCACCAAUUUCAUGAAAAAUGGAAUCUGUGAAUUUGCUCUUUAAAUCACUAGUCAUCUCUGUUCAUUUAAAAAUAAAAUUAUAGUUCCUUAA